UUUCUCUCUGAUCUCAGUGGCUUUUGUUUUGGUUUGGUUUUCUUUUGUUCCUGAUUUGAGAUAAGGAAACGAAUUUACAGAUUGUUUGCGCUGAUCUAACUGUAGUUGCUUUCCAUCACACACGAGAGGAAGAGAGUGAAGAAGAUGAAGACUUUCUUGCACCCAGAUCUGGCUAUGGGUUGGACCUUUAGGUCGAACAGCUUUGUCAUAGAUGCCAGUCCUAACAUCCUUUGGAAUGAUUACAAGAAACCCUAACCCUAAUUAUUGCUUUUUUGUCAUCAUUCUUCCUAAAAGGCUUACUUUCUCUUCCUCAAGAGGACAAAAGCUUAUCUGAUUGUUCUUAGGUUCGCUAUUUCGGAUGAGGAUUCUGUGCGUCUUCGAUUCAUGCUUUCGUUUUGCUGUUUCAAGGGAAGAAAGGAGGGCGAUGUCGUCGAGCUCGCCAUGCGCGGCGUGCAAGCUCUUGAGGCGUAAGUGCACGCCCGAGUGCAUAUUUGCACCACAUUUUCCGCCGGACCAGCCGGCGAAGUUCGCCAACGUGCAUCGAGUCUUCGGGGCGAGCAACGUCGCGAAGCUGCUCAAGCAACUCCGCCCAGAGCAGCGCGAGGACGCGGUGGCGUCACUGUCAUACGAGGCGGAGGCUCGGCUGCGUGACCCCGUCCACGGGUGUGUCGGCUAUAUCUACCUCCUCCAGCACAAGCUCAAGGAGGUGCAGCAUGAUCUGAGUAACGCGAAGCGGGAGCUCUCCACCUACAUUGGCCCCGUCGCGUUCGGGCCCAAUCUUCCCCAUCAGUACCAUCACCAGCUACAGGGGGUUUCUCCGUCGCCAUUCGGGAUUCGGGGGAUGGGUAUUGGAACGGGGCUGGCACUCUCGGCGCCUGCUACAUGGCCCCAGGGGCAGAUGCUGAUCAUGAGCGAGCAGCAUCAGCAUCAAAGGCCGCAAAUGCCAGAGAUGCACCAGGCCGCAGUGGAAACCCCCGUGGCUGCAAGAGAGCAGGAGAUGUUCACCAGUUACCCACAGAUCCAGGGGUAUGAUCGGAUGGCCGGUGGCGCUGCAGUUGUGGCUACAGUCUCAGCACAGCUGUUCAACAGCCCAUCUGCAGCAGAGCAGCGGCAUCCGCAACCUCAGCAAUACGCUGAGCGACUAUGGGCGAAGGCUAGGGGUGAGGGGAGGAGCGGAGCAAACCCUUCUGCUUGAAGAAAACAAAGGAGAACGACGAAACGAGCAAUGUCUUGAGACCUCUCCCACCUCGAGAUGAUCGACAUUAGGGUGUUUCAAGAGGCAGGAGAAGUCCCUAUUACAUUGUAUCUCUUCAAUGAGCCGAAAGCUAUCAUACCCUGUUGCACCGUCGAGCAUAGGAGAUGUAGGAGGAGGGAAGACUGUCGAAUGGAACAAGCAAAGUGAAUGGUGUGCAGGAUUACAGUGCAGAAGUAGCAGUCAUAAGCAGUAGUUCGCAGCGGAAAUGGAGUCAGAUAAACAUUACCUCUCUCUUCGCCUUGGUCAUCAAGAAGAUGUCAUCCUCUUGAAGCACCCCAGUUGAGUCAUUUUGCCUUCUGCAGUGUGUUGGUUCAUGUGACUGCAGUACCUUCCCUUCUGAGAUAUCAUUAAUUAUAUAUGGAUGGAUCACUUCUUCCUCCACAACCAGCUGGUAUCUUUGCUUUUCUUCUUUGCCUUCAGUUUUUCUUCUCCUUCAAUCAUUCUGGUUUGAAUCUUUUUUUGGUGUUUCAUUUAUUGUUUGCACUGGCUGCCUGAGGGAUUUGAUAGUGCUGUUUGUACUCUAUAAAGAAGCUUAUCUGGCUACACUCCUUAGGUUUCAAAUGCUAAGUUUCAUGGGUAUAAUAA